rnacentral:rRNA from 1 species
AAAUUGAAGAGUUUGAUCAUGGCUCAGAUUGAACGCUGGCGGCAGGCCUAACACAUGCAAGUCGAACGGUAACAGGAAGAAGCUUGCUUCUUUGCUGACGAGUGGCGGACGGGUGAGUAAUGUCUGGGAAACUGCCUGAUGGAGGGGGAUAACUACUGGAAACGGUAGCUAAUACCGCAUAACGUCGCAAGACCAAAGAGGGGGACCUUCGGGCCUCUUGCCAUCGGAUGUGCCCAGAUGGGAUUAGCUUGUUGGUGGGGUAACGGCUCACCAAGGCGACGAUCCCUAGCUGGUCUGAGAGGAUGACCAGCCACACUGGAACUGAGACACGGUCCAGACUCCUACGGGAGGCAGCAGUGGGGAAUAUUGCACAAUGGGCGCAAGCCUGAUGCAGCCAUGCCGCGUGUAUGAAGAAGGCCUUCGGGUUGUAAAGUACUUUCAGCGGGGAGGAAGGGAGUAAAGUUAAUACCUUUGCUCAUUGACGUUACCCGCAGAAGAAGCACCGGCUAACUCCGUGCCAGCAGCCGCGGUAAUACGGAGGGUGCAAGCGUUAAUCGGAAUUACUGGGCGUAAAGCGCACGCAGGCGGUUUGUU